UACAGAGGGUGCGAGCGUUGUCCGGAAUCACUGGGCGUAAAGGGCGCGUAGGCGGCCCGGUAAGGUUGCGGUGAAAGCCCGGGGCUCAACCCCGGGUCGGCCGUGGCAACUGCUGGGCUGGAGCGCAGUAGAGGCGGGUGGAAUUCCGGGUGUAGCGGUGGAAUGCGUAGAGAUCCGGAAGAACACCGGUGGCGAAGGCGGCCCGCUGGGCUGUUGCUGACGCUGAGGCGCGACAGCGUGGGGAGCAAACAGG
rnacentral:rRNA from 1 species